rnacentral:rRNA from 1 species
GAUGGACGCUGGCGGCGUGCCUAAUACAUGCAAGUCGAGCGAACGGACGAGAAGCUUGCUUCUCUGAUGUUAGCGGCGGACGGGUGAGUAACACGUGGAUAACCUACCUAUAAGACUGGGAUAACUUCGGGAAACCGGAGCUAAUACCGGAUAAUAUUUUGAACCGCAUGGUUCAGAAGUGAAAGACGGUCUUGCUGUCACUUAUAGAUGGAUCCGCGCUGCAUUAGCUAGUUGGUAAGGUAACGGCUUACCAAGGCAACGAUGCAUAGCCGACCUGAGAGGGUGAUCGGCCACACUGGAACUGAGACACGGUCCAGACUCCUACGGGAGGCAGCAGUAGGGAAUCUUCCGCAAUGGGCGAAAGCCUGACGGAGCAACGCCGCGUGAGUGAUGAGGGUCUUCGGAUCGUAAAACUCUGUUAUUAGGGAAGAACAUAUGUGUAAGUAACUGUGCACAUCUUGACGGUACCUAAUCAGAAAGCCACGGCUAACUACGUG